rnacentral:tRNA from 1 species
GCGGACGUAGUUCAAUGGUAGAACUUCAGCUUCCCAAGCUGAUAGCGCGGGUUCGAUUCCCGUCGUCCGCUCCA